GGCAGAAGUGUAGCGUAGUGGUUUGAGCAUUGAACUGUGACUCUGGAGACCAGGGUUAGAAUCCCAGUUUGGCCA